AGAGUUUGAUCCUGGCUCAGGACGAACGCUGGCGGCGUGCCUAAUACAUGCAAGUAGAACGCUGACUACUUUAGCUUGCUAGAGUAGAAGGAGUUGCGAACGGGUGAGUAACGCGUAGGUAACCUGCCUACUAGCGGGGGAUAACUAUUGGAAACGAUAGCUAAUACCGCAUAACAGUGUUUAACACAUGUUAGAUGCUUGAAAGAUGCAAAUGCAUCACUAGUAGAUGGACCUGCGUUGUAUUAGCUAGUUGGUGGGGUAACGGCCUACCAAGGCGACGAUACAUAGCCGACCUGAGAGGGUGAUCGGCCACACUGGGACUGAGACACGGCCCAGACUCCUACGGGAGGCAGCAGUAGGGAAUCUUCGGCAAUGGGGGCAACCCUGACCGAGCAACGCCGCGUGAGUGAAGGAGGUUUUCGGAUCGUAAAGCUCUGUUGUAAGAGAAGAACGUGUGUGAGAGUGGAAAGUUCACACAGUGACGGUAACUUACCAGAAAGGGACGGCUAACUACGUGCCAGCAGCCGCGGUAAUACGUAGGUCCCGAGCGUUGUCCGGAUUUAUUGGGCGUAAAGCGAGCGCAGGCGGUUUAAUAAGUCUGAAGUUAAAGGCAGUGGCUUAACCAUUGUUCGCUUUGGAAACUGUUAAACUUGAGUGCAGAAGGGGAGAGUGGAAUUCCAUGUGUAGCGGUGAAAUGCGUAGAUAUAUGGAGGAACACCGGUGGCGAAAGCGGCUCUCUGGUCUGUAACUGACGCUGAGGCUCGAAAGCGUGGGGAGCAAACAGGAUUAGAUACCCUGGUAGUCCACGCCGUAAACGAUGAGUGCUAGGUGUUAGGCCCUUUCCGGGGCUUAGUGCCGCAGCUAACGCAUUAAGCACUCCGCCUGGGGAGUACGACCGCAAGGUUGAAACUCAAAGGAAUUGACGGGGGCCCGCACAAGCGGAGGAACAUGUGGUUUAAUUCGAUGAUACGCGAGGAACCUUACCCGGGCUUGAAUUGCAACAGAAUUAUUUGGAAACAGAUAAGCCGCAAGGCUGUUGUGAAGGUGCUGCAUGGUUGUCGUCAGCUCGUGCCGUGAGGUGUCGGCUUAAGUGCCAUAACGAGCGCAACCCCUGCCGGCCGUUGCCAUCAGGUGAUGCUGGGGACUCUGCCGGGACUGCCAUCGUAAGAUGCGAGGAAGGUGGGGAUGACGUCAAAUCAGCACGGCCCUUACGUCCGGGGCCACACACGUGUUACAAUGGGGGGUACAGCAGGCCGCUACCGGGCGACCGGAUGCCAAUCUUUAAAUCCCCUCUCAGUUCGGACUGGAGUCUGCAACCCGACUCCACGAAGCUGGAUUCGCUAGUAAUCGCGCAUCAGCCACGGCGCGGUGAAUACGUUCCCGGGCCUUGUACACACCGCCCGUCA
rnacentral:rRNA from 1 species